rnacentral:ncRNA from 1 species
GCAAAAACGAUGACGGAGACGAGUACGGCGAACCCUGACCUUCAGAGAGCCGUCGGGUGGUGCGAGACGGUGGCAGAUUCGCCGGAAUCCCCUCCCGAGUUGCCCACGAAAACGACCUUUGGUCGGCGAAGUGGUGCCGGGUGCGCCCGUUAUCGCGCGAGAGUCCCGAUGGACUCGCCGAGGCUACGACCCGCGAGGGCGUAGCGAAGGCAGGUGGCACCGCGAGCCAGCGCUCGCCCUGCAA